UUUUCAGUGUCGCAGGGAAACCGAUAAACACACCGCCUGGGGAGUACGACCGCAAGGUUAAAACUCAAAUGAAUUGACGGGGACCCGCACAAGUAGUGGAGCAUGUGGUUUAAUUCGAAGAUACGCGCAGAACCUUACCAACACUUGACAUGUUCGUCGCGACUCUAAGAGAUUAGAGUUUUCGGUUCGGCCGGACGAAACACAGGUGCUGCAUGGCUGUCGUCAGCUCGUGUCGUGAGAUGUUGGGUUAAGUCCCGCAACGAGCGCAACCCUCACUUUUAGUUGCCAUCAUUAAGUUGGGCACUCUGAAAGAACUGCCAGUGAUAAGCUGGAGGAAGGUGGGGAUGACGUCAAGUCCUCAUGGCCCUUACGUGUUGGGCUACACACGUGCUACAAUGGUAUUUACAACAGGAAGCAAGACUGCGAAGUUAAGCAAAUCCCUAAAAGGUACCUCAGUUCGGAUUGCACUCUGCAACUCGAGUGCAUGAAGCUGGAAUUACUAGUAAUCGUGGAUCAGCGUGCCACGGUGAAUGCGUUCCCGGGUCUUGUACACACCGCCCGUCACACCAUGGGAGUUGGUUCUACCUUAAGGCAAGGUUUCAAACCCUUGACCACGGUAUAGUCAGCGACUGGGGUGAAGUCGUAACAAGGUAGCCGUAGGGGAACCUGCGGCUGGAUUACCUCCUU
rnacentral:rRNA from 1 species